rnacentral:rRNA from 1 species
GUAGGUGGCAGGCGUUGUCCGGAAUUAUUGGGCGUAAAGCGCGCGCAGGCGGUCCUUUAAGUCUGAUGUGAAAGCCCACGGCUCAACCGUGGAGGGUCAUUGGAAACUGGGGGACUUGAGUACAGAAGAGGAAAGCGGAAUUCCACGUGUAGCGGUGAAAUGCGUAGAGAUGUGGAGGAACACCAGUGGCGAAGGCGGCUUUCUGGUCUGUAACUGACGCUGAGGCGCGAAAGCGUGGGGAGCAAACAGGAUUAGAUACCCUGGUAGUCCACGCCGUAAACGAUGAGUGCUAAGUGUUAGGGGGUUUCCCGCCCCCCUUAGUGCUGCAGCUAACGCAUUAAGCACUCCGCCUGGGGAGUACGGCCCGCAAGGCUG